CGCAGUGUAGACAUAGCCUAAGCAAUGUAAAUUUAUCGAUUUUUCUUUAUUGUGAGCCUCCUUGCCAUCACUAAAUAAUUUGAUCGAGGAGAAAGAAAAGGUCAUUAUAGAUUCUGGCAAGGAGGAGUGAAAACGCACAAAAGCGAAAUAAAGCGCCACGUCACAGUUAUCAUAGCACGGAAAUUUGACAGCUUUUAUUUGUUCACCUAGGAGCCGGAAUCUAUAAUCAACAUUUCUUUAUUUGGCUUUUCUUGGGAAAAGCAAAGAGCAGCCGUGGAGCUCCGAAUGUGCGCGCUGGCGCAGAUUAAAAGGUGGAAAAAUUUGAGGGUACCAACUAGCGCAGAUGAAUAUUUAAUCCAUUGCUAUCGGUGAAUUGUUACUAAAGAGGAGUACGUCGUGGGAUUGCUAGUUGAUUGUGGUGAGACACCAGGAGUAAUCGGUAAGUACUCUGGGAGAUUGGUUAGGGAGACUAAUUGGUGGUCAGACGGUAGCAUACAACAAAUUAUUAAAUUAUUUGGACAGAAAAUAGUUUUAACCUAAAAAAUAAACGAAAGAAAAACGUUAUUGAAAAAUAUCGGGACCACUCAUAACGUUAUUAGCGUAAACAUACAUACAGCAUGCCAAAAACACGUUCGGGUGCUAGUCAAGGUGUGCAAGGAGACAGCGAUACGAAUGAAGAAUGUCGAGAAACGGUGGCCCAGCAGCCGUUAGCGAAUCCGCUUGCCAACCAAUCGCUGGAAUUAAAUUUAGCGGAAAUCCUACAGCAAGUUCAAAGCCUUCAAGAAGAGCUAAGGAAAACUUGGCAAAUACAAGUGGAUAUGAUUGGCAACGAUAGAAUUGUUACAGCAGGAUCUAGCGUUGUUGGCCAUUCCCAAACCAGGUCUAAUAUGGUGUCAGCACCUGAAGUCGAUGGUCGUCCAGAGGACUGGCCAAUGUUUAAAGAAAAUUUUAUAGCUACAACUGCAGAGUAUCGGUAUAGUGACACGCAAAAUAUGAUGCGUCUUCAAAAAGCAGGCAAAGGGAAAGCUAGGGAAACAAUUGAAUGUUUAUUAAUACACAGCCGAAAUGUUAGCCAAGUAAUGAAAGUUUUACAGGAGCGCUUUGGGAAACCAGAGUUUUUAGUAAAGAGUCAAAUAAAUAAAAUUCGUUAUUUUGCACCGAACAUCGAAUUGAACAAUUGGUAAUAUUCGCAACCAAGGUUCAAAAUUUAUUCUCUUUUUUCCAAGCAGCUGAUUGUGAUCGUCAUUUAUCGAACCCAACAUUGAUGGAAGAACUGUUGUUGAAGCUGCCUAUACAAAGGCGCAUCGAGUGGGCGUGACAUGCUGUAUCCAUCGUACCGCGACCAACUAUCUGCCACUUUAGCGACUGGUUGCAGGAACUAUCGGACGUCUUUUAUUCAGCUUGUGCAUAUUCAACCUUCGAGAUGCGCCAAAAUAGAACUGAAGACCGCCAAAGAUUCUUCCAUGUGAAUGAGGGUAAUAAUGAGGAUACUCGAAUGGCAUGUGAAGUGUGCGCGGAGAGACAUAACAUAACUAAGUGCGACAAGUUUUUACGUAUGGAUCUUCCUGAUAUGUGCCGUGUAGUACGACGUAAAAGGCUCUGUUUCAACUGCUUAAAAGGAGGUCACCGAAGCAAUCUGUGUGGCGAACAAAAUGCCUGUGGGGAUAGGCGCUGCUCAAAGAAGUUGCAUGCACAUCUUCAUCAGUCUAGUGGUAGAAGUAAAGAUUGGGAUUUGACGCGUUCACAACAAGCAUCGCAGCCGUCAUCAGGGCCUGGUAUUCAGCAACCGUUGCCAUCGGCUUCAAGACAAGCAGUUCAGCAGCAGCAAGCAUCAGAUGAAGCAGUAUCAGUUUUCACCAGUACCAUAGUACCUAGACACACACCGAAGUUGUUCUUCAAAAUAAUUCCAGUUAUUUUGUAUGCCGAUGAGAAGGAGGUCAAGAACUACGCAUUCUUCGAUGAGGGGUCAGCGAUAUCGUUAAUGAAUCGGGGUCUGGCCAGCCGGACUAUGGACUUAAAGGACAUAAUGAUAACCUAACGUUGCAGCGGUUCGGAACCACAACAGUCACGGAGCCCUCGUGUAGAGUGGACGUGGAGAUAUCAGGAGUUGGGCAUAAUCGUAGAAGAUUCAAAUUACAAGGCGUUCGCACGGUUGAAAACCUGCAGCUACCAAUGCAGUCUCUCAGCUUAUCGGAGCUGCAUUACAAGCAUCGACACUUACCUAUUAUGCAAUACAGCGAUGCAACACCAGAGCUGCUGAUAGGAUUGGACAACGCUCCUCUGGGUAUCCCACGUCGAAUAGCGUAUGACGGAAGUAGAGGUACUGCAGUGGUAUUAACCAAACUUGGAUGGGUGAUUUAUGGAACAGGGAGCCAUUCAACCCCCAAUGUUCGUUUUCGUUCUUUAUUUACACAGGUAUACGAUACAAUGAGAAGCCGGAAAAGUUGGAGAAUUUAGUCAGCAAGUACAUCGUCAAUGAGAAUAUGGGAGUAAAUACGAUGAAGCAACCGGUUGAAGCUGAAGACAUGCUAGGGCUAAGAAGUUAUUGGAAGAGAACACGAAGCGCUAUGGGCGUCGUUACGAAACCUGUUUACUGUGGAAGAAAGAUAAGAGAGAGUUACCGGAAAGUCGAGAGAUGGCGGAAAUAAAGGUUUUUUUUUCACUGGAGAGAAAGUUUAAAAGGAAUGAUGAUUUUAAAAAGGCGUACUCAGCUAUCAUUUCGGAAUAUGUUAAUAAAGGCUAUUGUCGGAAGCUGAAUAAUGAGGAAGUGGUACAAAAGAGUGGACGAACAUGGUAUCUACCCAAUUUUGGUGUAAAUAACCACAAUAAAACUCAGACUGGUCUUCGAUGCGGCGGCUGAAUCUCAUGGAAUUUCACUAAACUCCAUGCUGCUAAGUGGGCCGGAUCUAUCGCAGCCUUUGACACCGGUUCUCCUGAAAUUCAGGCAGAAGCCAGUCGGUGUUUGUGCAGACAUGGUGGAAAUGUUCCACCAAAUCAGGAUUCGCGCAGAAGAUUUAACAGCACAACGUUUCUUGCGGAGAACUGAUCCGGGAGCACCUCUAGCUGAAUAUGUCAUGAAUGUUAUGACAUUUGGAGCCACAUGCAAAAUGCAGAAGAGUUCAAAGAAAAAUUUACUGAAGCUGGGGCAGCCAUCAUACACAAUCAUUAUGUAGAUGAUUUCGUUCCUAGCUUUUCAAGCGCUGAGGAGACCCUGAAGGUUACAAAACAGGUAAUUUGGAUACAUGCAAAC
rnacentral:lncRNA from 1 species